AAUGAACGCUGGCGGCGUGCCUAAUACAUGCAAGUCGAACGAACAGAUGAGGAGCUUGCUCCUCUGACGUUAGCGGCGGACGGGUGAGUAACACGUGGAUAACCUACCUAUAAGACUGGGAUAACUUCGGCAAACCGGAGCUAAUACCGGAUAAUAUAUUGAACCUCAUGGUUCAAUAGUUAAAGACGGUUUUGCUGUCACUUAUAGAUGGAUCCGCGCCGCAUUAGCUAGUUGGUAAGGUAACGGCUUACCAAGGCGACGAGGCGUAGCCGACCUGAGAGGGUGAUCGGACACACUGGAACUGAGACACGGUCCAGACUCUUACGGGAGGCAGCAGUAGGGAAUCUUCCGCAAUGGGCGAAAGCCUGACGGAGCAACGCCGCGUGAGUGAUGAAGGUCUUCGGAUCGUAAAACUCUGUUAUUAGGGAAGAACAAAUGUGUAAGUAACUAUGCACGUCUUGACGGUACCUAAUCAGAAAGCCACGGCUAACUACGUG
rnacentral:rRNA from 1 species